CCUGAGCUUAACUCCCUGCAAGCUUCACUCCCUGGCUGUGGGUGCCCAUCCUGAGAGGACAGAGUCUCCUGGCCAUUGCCCGGGGCUCCAAGAAGAUGCUGCUUCCCGGGCCAUUGUGAACACUA